UUUUUGUUGUUGUUUUUCUGUGUUCUACAUGCUUUCUCCUCUUUUUUCCAAAGGCUUUCAAAAAGUGGUGGACACAAAAUCAACUUUAGUAAAAAGUGGGGAUGACUACCCACCCACAUCCGCAGAAGACACUUAUGAAAAGAACAAGAUAAGAUUUUAUCUGAAGAAUAAAAUGUAAAAAAAAAAAAAAAUGAGUGGUGGGGUGGAGACAGAGAACUCUUGAUAAAUGCGGUGGUAUUUGCUUUCCAUCUCAUUAUUAAUUGGAGCAGAGCAGAAGGAUGAAGUUCAGCAGCGCUCUGAGUGUUGCUGCGAUCACACUUCUCUACACAGCAGGUUCCCUCUGCCAGUCAGAAGUGUGUGGUCGAG